rnacentral:rRNA from 1 species
GGGCCCGCACAAGCAGUGGAUUAUGUGGUUUAAUUCGACGCAACGCGAAGAACCUUACCAGGACUUGACAUCCCAAGAACUCGCUAGAGAUAGCUUGGUGCCCUUCGGGGAACUUGGAGACAGGUGGUGCAUGGUUGUCGUCAGCUCGUGUCGUGAGAUGUUGGGUUAAGUCCCGCAACGAGCGCAACCCUUGCCAUUAGUUGCUACAUUGAGUUGAGCACUCUAAUGGGACCGCUACCGACAAGGUGGAGGAAGGUGGGGACGACGUCAAAUCAUCAUGCCCCUUAUGUCCUGGGCUACACACGUAAUACAAUGGCCGUUAACAACGAGAUGCAAACCCGCGAGGGGGAGCGAACCUCCAAAAACGGUCUCAGUUCGGAUCGUAGGCUGCAACCCGCUGCGUGAAGUUGGAAUUGCUAGUAAUCGCGGAUCAGCAUGCCG